rnacentral:lncRNA from 1 species
CCAUGUUAAUUGACAAAUUGAUUAUAAAUUAUAUACGCUGAAUAUGUAAUAAAAUUUUAUACUAUUACUGUAUUUAUACAAUUUAACUUGUUACAAUAAUUUACAACAUCAAUACUUAUUCUAAAGAUUUAUGUGUUGUAAUCUUUAAGUAACUAGAUUUUGCAAGUACUUUAUAGUUUAUACAAUGUCAUCGGUGCAUUUAACUUAUCUUGACAAAUUACAUCGACAUUUUGUGAAAUAAUUCUCAAAAUCUCAAUUUUAUUUGAACCAUUGGGCUCUAUAGCACUCCUCAUUGAAUGACCCAACAAUCACUCUACUAUUAAAUUGUCUCCAGCCCAAUGGCCUUCUAAUCCAGACCCAGUAUUCCAUCUAUACCUCUGUAAAUUAUGAGAUGCUGGAAUUUUCGUACAAUUCGCUAUUCUUGAAUACAGUGUUUACUUCAAUGAUCCGAUCUCAUUAGAUUUGGGAUUAUUCUUCUGCAAUAUAGGGUCCAGGAAUUUCUCUAAAAACAAUAAAAUUAAACUUCAUAAAAGUACAAUAUGGGGUAGAUCAAAAACAUUAUGCACACUAGAUUAUUCUGGAAACGACUUAGUAGUUCAUUUAAUCAUCAUUUCACUCAACAUAUAGUUUUGUUUGAUGAGACGAGCAUAUUGUUAAAAUUUUACAUACCUUGUCCAUAGUCUCGAUCCCUUCAUGCUGCAGAACAUUCUCACCACUUUGCACUGAGCAUUGACAAAUUAAACCAUAUAUAUAUGUACCAAUAAUUCCUAUGGAGAUUAGAAGUCAAAUUUUUAAAGAUGACAAUAUUGCUCAAAGUUAAUUUCUCCAUCCGUAAAAGGCAGUGGCGGGGUUCUACUGGGUUGAAGAAGAAGAGAGGAGUCAAGNNNN